rnacentral:lncRNA from 1 species
ACCUCACUAAUGCUCUUGUGGCUGAAUGGAAGCAAGUCCCCUCAACAAUGUUCCAACAUCUACUGGAAAGCCUUCCCAGAAGAGUGGAGGCUAUUAUAGCAGCAAAGCGGGAGACCAACUCCAUAUUAAUGCACAUGAUUUUGGAAUGAGAUGUUUGACAAGCAAGUGUCCACAUACUUUUGGUUAUGUAGUGUAUUUCUGCCUGACUAUGGUACGGGUAUUAGUUAUGCAGCAAUAAUUUUCCAAUAGGUGAAUCAAGAUUUUGUUGUUUGAAGUUCUCAUAUGAAGGGUUUGGGUGAGCAUGUCUGUCAUUAGCUGUGGAGUUGGGUGCAGGGACAGGGUCUCUUGAACAAUGCUGUUCAUUCAGCCACAAGAUCUCCACCUGGUGCCAAGGAUCCUCCACUGGUUCAUUAAUGCUUUAAAACCUUUCCUUUCAUUACCGUUCUGCUUUGCCUGUCGUGUAAAUAUAUAAACGUAGGCUAUUCAAAGCACUCAAUACAAACAAUACCCCCUUAGUCAGUAGAGGCCUUGAAAAAAAAGACAUUUAAAAAUGUAAUGCCUGAAUGGGAACAUCAAGCAUUAGUUGACAUUAGAGAUUAAGGCUAGAGAGGCUAAUUGAAAUUCUAAACUAAUGUCUGUGAGGUGAGGUGGCACUUUAGAUUCAGACACAAUGUCAAUGUUGUUUAAAAGGUCAGGGUUUCUGAAAUAAAAGAUGGCUCUGAUUGCAUAAUGGAGGCUAUAGGCUCUCCUGAAAGUAAAUUAGGAUAUGAAUGAUUGCAUUUGGUAGUCAGUGAGUGAGUGAUGUCUUUUGGUUUUGUCUGUAGACUAUGAGAUAAGUGCCUUCCUGGCCUCCACCAAGGACACAGAGAAGGAUGGGAGCUGGAUGGAUACCUGCAGGAGACAAUAUUGUAAAGUCAUGACCACCAAGUCCAACUUUGUCUCAGCAAAUGGGGUCCUGGCUGAUCUACUGGAGAAGGCUGUGUUGCACCUCUCUGCUUCGCUGUCAGAGCAUUUCUUCCUGCUUGCACAAUACAAAGCAUCGGAGAGCGGCGUAAAGGCUGGCAGCCUGUCAUCUGUGGACCAGCUGGGGAUUCAGGCCUCUCUCAGCAUCAUGACUGGCCGCUUCCACUCCCCUGCUGUACGUGCCUGUCAAUCACAUUGAGAAGGCCCACUGCAUCCAGCCUCAGCCCCCUCAAUCUGUAACCCUUCUCUCCUGCUGCCUACUGAGACUGACCUGUGGUGCGCCAGGUAAGAUGCUGUGGUUGUUAUAGUGGACCUCUCCCUAACAUUAGAGGGGGGGGGGCUCAUGGUUGGAGAAAUGGAAAGAGAGAGAGAGACAUUUUUCUGCAUGUUUUAAAAAAAAUAUAGAUUUAGAGUUAGAUAAACUUGGAUUUUUUGGCAAGG